rnacentral:rRNA from 1 species
GAGUUUGAUUCUGGCUCAGGACGAACGCUGGCGGCGUGCUUAACACAUGCAAGUCGAACGGGAACCUUUAUUUCGGUAAAGGUGAGAGUGGCAAACGGGUGAGUAACACGUAGGCAACCUGCCGACAGGAUGGGGACAACAUUCCGAAAGGAAUGCUAAUACCGAAUGAAGUCACCGGAGGGCAUCCUCUGGUGAUGAAAGAUGGCCUCUGAACAUGCUAUCACCUGUCGAUGGGCCUGCGUCUGAUUAGCCAGUUGGUGAGGUAACGGCUCACCAAAGCGACGAUCAGUAGCCGGUCUGAGAGGAUGAACGGCCACAUUGGGACUGAGACACGGCCCAGACUCCUACGGGAGGCAGCAGUGGGGAAUCUUCCACAAUGGGCGAAAGCCUGAUGGAGCAACGCCGCGUGAGUGAAGAAGGUCUUCGGAUCGUAAAGCUCUGUUGCACGGGACGAAAACCGGGUUUGAAAACAUUGAACCCGGGGACGUACCGAGCGAGGAGCCAC